rnacentral:rRNA from 1 species
CCAGACUCCUACGGGAGGCAGCAGUGAGGAAUAUUGGUCAAUGGGCGGAAGCCUGAACCAGCCAAGUCGCGUGAGGGAAUAAGGCCCUACGGGUCGUAAACCUCUUUUGCCGGGGAGCAAGGGCGGGGACGUGUCCCGGCCCGGAGAGUACCCGGAGAAAAAGCAUCGGCUAACUCCGUGCCAGCAGCCGCGGUAAUACGGAGGAUGCGAGCGUUAUCCGGAUUUAUUGGGUUUAAAGGGUGCGUAGGCGGGUUUUUAAGGCAGCGGUAAAAUGUCCGGGCUCAACCCGGGCCGGCCGUUGAAACUGGCUGUCUUGAGAUGUCGAGAGGUAUGCGGAAUGCGCAGUGUAGCGGUGAAAUGCUUAGAUAUUGCGCAGAACUCCGAUUGUGAAGG